rnacentral:misc_RNA from 1 species
CGCGUCUCAGCUGGAUAACUUCCUCUCUCCGUCACCCGUGGGCGUGUGUGUGAGGAGGAGCGAGGCGGCCUGUCUUCCUCCCUGCCCCCUCCCCCCGUCAGGGCCACUGCCCUGCUUUGGACGACCUCCUCCUUCACCUCCCCCCUCCCCCUCUAUCGUCGCCAGUGGGUUGGCGGGUGGGUGUGGGAGAGCACCCGCCGGCUAGAAACACAAAAGGAAAAGGGCGGCAGCAGCAGCGCACGCUAUCGUGUCUUAGCGCUUUCCCUGCCGCUGUCAGGAUCAUCAUCCGUUUCCUCCUCAUUGCCUAUAUUCGCUCACGCGUUGCUAACUUUGGGUAGGGUGCCAAUGCCGGCUGCUUCGCCACCGGCCUGGCCAGCGCGCCACCACGCCGAUUCCCCGCUGAGGAUGGUGCUCUCGGUGCCGGACAUGGAAUCGCUGGAUGAGAUCACAGACGGGGAUGUGCAGGAGCUUCUCUUGGCUAUGGCCUCUCCGACCGGCAGUCAUGGCCGAGUUAUAAGACUGACGGACGCGAAGGCGCCGGCGGAAGAUGACCCUGUCGCCUCGUACUCCGCUGAAGUAGCGUACACACACGAAGAGCAGCCGGCCCAGCAGCAACAACCGCAACGACGGCCCUUUGUAGCUCACGGUGUCUACACCGCUGGCCGCUCUCGCCGUGUGUCUCUUCCAGAGGACCCGAUGUCGUCUCCCGUGACAACGGAGUUCCAUAGCACUUUCCCGUGUAGUGGACGUCGCACGUCGGUCGCGCCACCCCUCCUACAAGACACACCACUGUCGCAGCCCAACAUGUUUGCAGAGCCGAACAACACGACUUUGGUAUCGCGAAGUUCGACGCCUACGUCGCCACUGUCCACUACCUUAGGCUCUCCAACUAAAACUCAAGACAGCCGCGUGGAGUACCGGAGCGAGGCAUCACCGCUGUCGCCGUCGCCAUCAGCAUCUCCGGCGUUGCCGUGCCUGGUGCCGAUCUCAGACACCGAAGUACUCGAGGCGGAGCUCCACCGCUGGGACUCGCAGCUCGUACAGGAGUGCUGGCUGCAUCAAGAGCUCCAUGGCGUACGCUGGGAUGAGGAGCUGCUCCUGCAGCAUGGCGCGGCGUACCGCCCUCGUGCUAUCGCCUCUCGAACGACGGUCUCUAUGACGCACUCCAAGAGGUUGUGCAUUGCACUGAACGUGGAGACGUCCAUCGUGGAGAACGCGGAGGGGGCGCUAAGAGACGAGAGGGGCGAAGGCGGCGGCGGCGGCGAAGCGGCAGGGAUGCCGUCCAUGAGCUCUCCUGAGGCGGAGGCAUGGUCUCCGCUCUUCAUGUGGCGCUCGCCCGCCUUCAUCCUCGGGGACAGCAGCGCCGUCCUGGCGCAGCUGUCGGAGCGGCUCAGCGAGCAAUACAAAGGGCUGGCGCCGCGACCGUUGCCGACGACGUGCUGCGCCAACGCGCGCCCCUCUGAUCUCAUUCAGGCCCUCAGCGACGCCCGCAAAGACGCUGGCAACGCAAAGGUGAUUUUUCACUACGUCGCUCGAGGUGUGCCGCCUCCGCGUGGGGGCAACUUGUAUUUGAUGAACAUAGGGCCGAGCGCCACGGGGUACGCGGGACCGCCCUACAGCAAGUUGUCCCUGGACACCUUCCGCAGCCGUGUCGGGUUCCCGCUGGUCUUCGUGGCGGACUGCGCCGAGGCUGGCGAGAUCCUGAACUACUACAUACGAAUGUGCGAGGAGCAGCAUCAGCAGCGCUACUUCACCUCCUCGCGCGAGUACCAGCUCAUGUCGAGUCGCCAGGUAAGCGCAGUGGAGAUGGACGCGCCCGCCGACAGUCAAGCGAGCCGCAUCAGCAGCAGCUACGAUCGUGUAGGCAGCAACCUCGACACGGUCCCCGCCGACCCGCUCCACUGCGGCGGCCAUUUCGGUGCUGGCGGGAUGGACAGCGCUGCGCCGCCGCAGAGUACCAUCCUGCAAGACUUCUACUUCAUUGGCGCUACCGGGAGUACCGACAGCGGCAAUGGUGGCGCUAGUGGCAGUGGCAGCAGCGCCAUGCGGUCGAGGGUGGGUGUCGGCCGCGGUGACGCGGGCAUGAUGGGUGUCGGCGCUGCCGCCGGUGGUGCAGCGGGGGGCGGCCGUGCCGUGAGCGACGGUGAUGCCGGGGCCCUGCGGCACCACCCACGCCUCCCCUCCGACAUCCUCACGAGCUGCCUCACCACCCCGCUGCGCAUGGCCAUUUUGUGGUUUGUCGCGGAGCGCCCUGAGCUGCAAGCGCUGCACCCGCUCAUUCUCCACCUCUUCCCUGGCACCUUGACGGACAAGAAAACACCGCUUGGCCAGCUGCAGUGGUACCUACAGUGCAUCACCGAGUGCAUCGCGUGGUCUACCCUCUCCCUCCCACAGUACUCCCGGCUUUUCCGCGAGGACGUUUACGUCGCGCCGCUCUUUCGAGGCUAUCUGUUGGCAGAGCGCAUCAUCGUCGGUGGACUGGGCGGCUGCCUCAGUGUCUACCCGCCCGUGCCAGCGACGCACUCGCACAGGCUGUGGAGCACGUGGGACAACAUCGUGGAGCGUUCGUGCGUCUCUCUCCUCCGCGCAGUCCGGCCCGCCCCGCCACACUGUGCGAGUGUGCUGGAGUUCCGCAGUUGGCUGGAUGUGCAGGUGACGUCGUGGAAGUACAGCCGUCCCGACCUCCUGGCCGUGGAGGUCAGCAACGCCGUGCCGGCCGCCGCCGCGUCGCCGGGGGCAGAGGCGCAGACGAGUUGCCUACCGUCGCUGCCGGACGACACCGCGGUGGUGAUUCCACCGUUCCUAGCCGAAGAGCUGCUCGGGCUGCAGGCGAUGCUGGACGGCAUUACGCAGCAGUCAUUUGAGCUGCCACGGGCUUACUUGGCUGGCGUGUGGGGGCUGCGGCCGCGCUCGUCGACCUCCGCGGCGUGGGGCGGUACUAGCACAACUACCCCUGGUGCAGAUGGUCGGGAUGAAGCCGGAGAGGUCGGCCGUGAGAGACGCCGCCCGUAUGUGUGUCCCACCUCGGGACGUGUGCAAGGCAGAAACGGCCGUGGUGCGGCCGCCAGAGUUCCUCUGAGCAGUGUCGCUGACCAGUACGCCAACUCUCUCCACUCUUCCUAUCCGCGGGCGCCUCAGCAACCACAACAGGCCACCGCAAUCCCGUCACCGUCUGACGGGCUCGCGCGGCUGACGGCGGCUUCCAGAUCCUCUGUCGCUCUGCCUAACAGUUCUGAGAGCGCCGCUGCCGGCCUGGUCUGGGACCGCAACACGCAGAGCACGACGGUUGCCUUCCUACCUCACGCCUCGACUCGCUGUCAGGACCCCCGCAAGAAGCGCCCCACGGCACCUGAAGGUGCUGCUGCGGUGACUUCCGGCGCGCCAAAGCAGGUGGAAUCGCGCGCCACUGUCACCUUCGGGCGAUACCAGCGAGUGCCGAAUGCUGAUCUCAGCAGGCUUUCGAAUGCCACCACCAUCGCGGCGGUGCCAGUGGCGUCCGCUACGAGUGAUGGAGUGGCGGUGCUGCCCACAGCUGCCCUCUCAAGGGCGGCCACGCAGGGCCCCCCUGCUCACGUUGAGGUGCGCAAAACAGAGUACAUUACAAACCUCUUCACUAGCACCACCACCUCUGGCCCGGCCGCCUCUUUCCGCUACACCGCGGAGCUGUACCGCCCCGCAGACGCGAUAGAGAGUACUGCAGCUCUGGGGAACCUGUACAGCUCCUCCUCUACGGCGGCGACAGCAGCAGCAGCGUCAGAGGCGCCCCCGCCACAGCAAACCUUCCCGUUCAUGGAGCGGAUGCCCUCGCUGCUGCAGGCGCUGCUGGUCGCUGCCCACCGUGAGAGGGCGACGGAGCUGGUCUGCCGACUUGUCGACUGUGGCCCGGCAGCGGUGCUGCAGUGUGCCGAGGCAAAUGUCUACCGCUUUGUGCUGGACCGUUACUGGAGUCGACCCGACCUACGCUUCUUGAUGCCGGCCACACUGUUCAUCUACUGCAAGAGCUGCUACGCCGACCCCGAGCUAAUCGGGUCCGCGAAGCAGCGGGACGUGGCGGUGAAGGCCUGCGCGGAGGUACUCCAGUGCCCGGUGGAGGUGCCACCGUCCACAUCGUCAGCUGGCGGUGAUGAGGCGCCAGGGGCAUGGCAGAGCAACGUGCUGGGCCCUUAUGCCACUCCGUACGGCCAGCGUAUGAUGGCCGCGUCGCUGCUGACGCUCAUUGCCUUGCACAGCGAUGACGGCCGCGAGGCGUGCCAUCAGCACGGGGUGUUUCAGCUCUGCUGCCAGCUGCUACAGCAAGCACAAGAGGAAGCGCCACUGUGGCUAGCGGCAACGGAGGCAUCGACCGCUCCGGCUACGACAGCGGGUGCGACGGCGGCACCGCCAAUCCCUCGUGUAUUAUCUUUCUCGCAGAAGCUGCAUGUUUUAUCGUCGCCGCCGGCGCUGCGGCUUCAACGACCCGCAACGCCGCUCUGCGAGGCAGGCGACGAGCCACCGCACAUGACACCACCGCCGGUGUUCAUCGCCACCACCUACCACUUGACCUUGCUGACGCUUUUCGUGUCGCUCCUGUGCAGCUGGAAGCUGCCCGCCGCUACUCCUGCCGCGGAGGAAGAAGACCGCAACACGGAGAGGGAGGAGGAGGGUGUGACGUUUGGCAGCUCGGCCGCAGACGUCGGUGCCUCCUUCCCCGGAGCGGCACCGCCUGACCCGCCUUCCCUGAGCCCCCCGCUGGACGGCACUGUGCAGGACGUGCCGCAGACAUCUGCCGAGGUGCUCGAGGCGGGCUUGCACAUUGCGGCGCCGGCGCUGCUCCACUUCAUGUACUCUGACACGUCUAUCCUGCGCGGGGCAGCGCAGCGGUGCUUCAUGAUGGUGCUCAUCUCGCCUGCACCGAGUCAGGCCUCGCGGGCCCGCUACGCCGAGCUACAGCUGCAUCGUCUGCACGGACUGCCCGUGCGCAUGUCCGAGAUGAACACGGACCUGAGGCUUGAGGCGACACGCAUGGCCUACACCGCGUAUCGCUGGUUGUUUGCGCAGCUGCGCGAGGACAUUCCCGUAGAGGAGAUUGGGCAGUACGUGGCCCAGUGGAUGUAUCGGUGGUUCAGGCUGGCCGCCAAGGGCAAGCCCCCGCCCCCACCGUCCAUCUUUGGCGACAAAAGCUUUUGCAGAGGUGGUGGACAGCAGACUUCCCUCCGCGCGCACGGCAGCAACGCCACGUCACCGCAGCACCAGCAGCAGCAGGCCACCCACAGCGUCUGGGCACUGCCCACCGUGUCCGUGUCGUACCACGAACCGCACGUCGUCACACCGGGGCCCAUCUAUUCUCACCGCCGCAGCAACGUGCUGGUGCCCGCUGCCCGAUCCGCCCGUGUCGGCAUGGUGAGCGAUUCUGCCACUGGGGGCGGUGCCGGCUCUGUGGUGCUUGGCGGCGGCCUUCGACAUCACAUCAUGCCACAGGAUCAUCGCCGACUGCAGGCUUACCUGCCCCCCCUUAGCAACCUCGUGCGCCUCUUUUUUGAGCACACCCAAGAUACCUGCCCAUACGUGCGCACAUAUGUGCGGCGCGUGGUGCUGGAGGAGUUCAGUUUUCUUCGUCAGUCGUGGUACGAUGACUACACCGUGAUGGACCCUCAGCGCCGCACCUCGCCGUCCCCCGUCGCGGAAGAGGACGACUACAGCGGGGCAGGCCGUCACCACUACCCCGGCCACCAACGUCGGCAACGCCACGCGUCUGGCUCUCGCCAGAGCUAUCGCCACAUAGAUCGUCACCAUGGUGUCAGUGGAGAGGGCGGGCAAGGAUGUGGCGGAGAAGAGCUAGAGGCGUCGUAUGCAGUGUCCGGCGGCGGCCUCGCCACGUACUUGCCGCUCAAACAGCUGCUCCACGUAAGGGAGACGGAGGCGCAUGGCGGCGGCCCCGCUGCAACGUCUCUAUUCGGAAUGCGUACUAUGGGCGCCUCCCCCAUGCCGAUGUCGAGCGACUUCGAGGCUGGCCACUGGAGCGUCGCAGCUGCCGCGGCGUCCGCUGGGGACGUGGAGGAUGUUGCUGAGCCGCACCCUGCAGUGCUGCGCCGUUUUAUUGUGCGACUGCUGCGCAUCGCGUCUUCCAACAGUGCAGAGGGGGCAACUGCGUCCCCGAUGUCGCCGCUGCGCCCGCACUCACACUACCGUAUUGAGGCUGCGGGCGCAGUCGGCGGAAAGGAGGGCGAUGAGGUCGACGGCGGCGGUGGCGAUACACGGCAGAAGAGAGGGCGCAGCGUCCGCGGGCUUCGUUGCAGCGGUGACACGGGGGUCGGCCAGGGUGGCUUCGCCGUGCGCGCCGGAGCUCGUGGCGGCACGCCGUCCACAGCCACUACUCGGCGUCGUGACGCCGGCGACAGAGGUGUCGGGCCGCAGGAUGGGGACGACUACUUUGCGUCUGAGCUGCAAGUAGGUAGCGAGGGCGUCGUCGGUGGCAGCGGGAUGGCCAGCAUGCUCCUCGACGCGGAGGCCUUCGCGCUGCAUCCGCUGUGGACUCUGGACAGCACUGCCAUGAUGACUUUCGCCUACGGCGCCCUCAGCUUCCUAGAGCGUUUCAUGCUGGAGGAGACGGACGACAGCGACCCACGCCACCCCAUGAACCUCGAAAAAGAGAACGCCUUGUACGAGUACAGUCAACGCGUAGAGUGCAACAUCCGCGCAUCUGCGCAGGAGGCAGCAGCGGGCGUGGUGGGCGGAGGCAGAUGCGGCGGGACACCGCUGCUGGCGGUGCGUGAUAGGGAGCAGCUGAGCAGAACGGCCGGCAGCACAGCACCCUUGCCGACGGCCACGCGUGCGUAUGCCCCAUUCCAGUGCAUUGGUGUAGGCGACAUCGGUCGGGCUGGUGUGCCUGGAUACGGACGCCGCCGCGCGUCAGCGUCCUCUAGCUCCUCUCCAGAGUCCAGUGCGACACGGCGUGGGGGUGGUGUCGGCGCGGCCGCCUUGUCCCUCUCGCGUGUGGCUGGUAACGUGGAUGUCAUCCUCUUCCACCCCUCGGAGCCGAUGUUGGUGACAUCGACAACAGGCGGCUUGUUGAGCGUGUGGUCGUACGAGCCCGUCGGCAAGGCAGCUGCGGACGAGGUGGAGGCGGCGCAGGACGCAGCCAACAAUGACAGGGGUGAGGUCGGUUAUGAGCGCUCUGCGACAGCUCGAGGCGCACGCAGAGGGCCUAUUUCGUCUCUUCGAGCCUUGGAGGCUCGCGCGCAGUAUUUCCUGCGCGAUGUUGUUGGCCGCGCCAACUCCGCCACGGCGCGUGUUGCGCAGCCUCGAUACAUGUACGAUCGAUACAACCCACAUGGCCAGGCCCCAGCUCGGCGCGCGGGCGGCGCCAUUGCCGCUGCUAAGGUGGAGCUGGAGGCGCGUCGGCUCUCGCGCACUGCGUACGGCACAGGCAAGGAUGUCAACGCCGCAGCUUACCGCCGUGACGAGGCAAGUGGCCUCGGUGGUGGCGGCAGUCGGCCCGGUAUGUGGAUGGAGCGCGCCGAGGCUGCCAAUGCCGCUGCCGCGCUACCGUCCUCGUACCGGCAUGGCCACCUGCACUACUACCACGGGGUGGGCGACCUGCACCUUGUCGACGCGGCCUACCGCCCUCUGCUGUGUGCGGUGCGGCGCACCGGUGCUGUGGAGGUGUUCUCUGACUUCGCUGGCCGCCGGGAAGUGCGCCGCGUGACUACCUUUGAAACGAUGCCGCUGGAUCAAAGAGAGGAGCAGCACCACUGCGUGUCGAGCUACCAACCCCCUACCGGCCUGCUGUACGUGAGUACUCAGGACGGUGGUGUCAGUGCCUGGGACUUGGGAAGCGAGCAGCGGCUUGCCCUGUCUGGCCGAUUGGCUUCCGCUGCGGAGGAUAACGCAGCCGUGUCGGCCCUCAUGGCCCACCCAUGCACGCCGUACGAGUACGUUGUGGGCAGCUACGGCAUGCCCGUAUGCGUCUUCGAUUUGCGCGACGGCGUCACCGGAGCGGCUCGACGCGGAGUGUCUCUGCCGUCUCUCCGUUGCUGCAUCAGGAGCGGCCUCGUCUCGCCCUUUUGCUUGCGGGUGAGCUACUCGCGGCGCUACCCGAAUGCGGUGGUGGCCGGGUACGCUGCCGGCACAGUGGCCGUCUGGGAUCGGCGCUAUACGAAGGAGCCGUGCAUUCUGUUUGGCGCGGCGCACGACAGCCUGUAUGCCACAGACCUCACAUCGAGUGAGGCCCACGGCGCCUCCGCUGUCGCCCCUCGCAUGAUUCGUCAGCUCGACACGCAUCCGAGCAGCAAGCGGUUUCUGACGCUCAUGACAACUCCGUCAUCGCUGCAGCUGCUGCAGCCGUGGAGAGGCGACGGACGGGCGAGCCUGGCUGGCGCAGACCGUGCUGGCGGCAGCCUCUUGCCUCAUGAGGGACCGCUAAAUCGACCGACAACCUCUCUUCUGCAUCAGUUCUCACUAGACAGCGGCAGCAGCGAGGACACCAACGGCGGCAGUGGCGGUGGUAGCAGCGGUCCCGGGGCCGCGUGCUUUCACGACUUCAGCCCUGUCCUCGGCGUCGGCGUCGGCAGCACUGUGCAGCUAUACGGCACGCCGCAUCUCCCCUCAGCCGCAGCGUACCUGGAACGAGGCCUGGCCUGAGGAGGAGCGGAGAGAGAAGCGUUGAGCUGGGGGAAGAGCGGAAGGAUUUCCUGCUGAGGUGCGGCACCAGCGCACUGCUCAUUUUUUGUGAUGUUCCGCGAGAGUCGGCUGAGAUGUUGACCCCGACCUUUCUAUUCGCUUUUCUGGCUUUAUGCGCCGCCUGCUACACCGUCUCUCCCCCCAUCCGUGUGUUUGUCGCUCUCGUGUGCGCACGCAUGGGGAGGGGCGGCGUGGCAGCCGGAAAGGAAGG